GUGCACGGAAAUUGAAUCGAAAAACCGCGGAAAACUGCGCCCCACACGUGUUCACACCGCAGGGGUCAGAGGUUCAAAUCCUCUCGCGCCCACCA
rnacentral:tRNA from 1 species